CCUACGGGAGGCAGCAGUGGGGGAUAUUGGACAAUGGGGGAAACCCUGAUCCAGCGACGCCGCGUGAGUGAAGAAGUAUUUCGGUAUGUAACGCUCUAUCAGCAGGGAAGAAAGAAAUGACGGUACCUGAGUAAGAAGCCCCGGCUAACUACGUGCAUGCAGCCGCGGUAAUACGUAGGGGGCAAGCGUUAUCCGGAUUUACUGGGUGUAAGGGGAGCGUAGACGGUAAUGCAAGUCUGGAGUGAAAGGCGGUGGCCCAACCCCCGGACUGCCCUGGAAACUGUGUAACUGGAGUGCAGGUGAGGUAGGCGGAAUGCGUGGUGUAGCGGUGAAAUGCGUAGAUAUUAGGAGGAACACCAGUGGCGAAGGCGGCCUGCUGAACUGUAACUGACGUUGAGGCUCGAAAGCGUGGGGAGCAAACAGGAUUAGAUACCCUUGUAGUC
rnacentral:rRNA from 1 species